UACGGGUGGUGCUAGUGUUAUUCCACGUGACUAGGUGUAAAGGGUGAGUAGAUUGAAAAAAAUAGUUUUAAAAUAAAACGAGAACUUUGUUUUUUUUUACUUUUUUUUUCUUGAGUUUAAUAGACAAUAAUGGAACUUCCUGCAUUAGGGUUAAAAUACAUUUAAACUGGAAGGAACACCAAGGGCAAAGGCAAUUAUUGAUAUUUAACUGACAUUGAGGCACGAAGGGAUGGGGAUCAAAUGGG
rnacentral:rRNA from 1 species